rnacentral:rRNA from 1 species
CCCUCGGGUCCGAGUUGUAAUUUGCAGAGGGAGUUUCGGCGGCGGCGCCGGCCUAAGUCCCUUGGAACGGGGCGUCACAGAGGGUGAGAAUCCCGUAUGUGGCCGGCGGUCAAUUCCAUGUGAAACCCCUUCGACGAGUCGAGUUGUUUGGGAAUGCAGCUCAAAAUGGGUGGUAAAUUUCAUCUAAAGCUAAAUACCGGCCAGAGACCGAUAGCGCACAAGUAGAGUGAUCGAAAGAUGAAAAGCACUUUGGAAAGAGAGUUAAACAGUACGUGAAAUUGUUGAAAGGGAAGCGCUUGCAACCAGACUUGCUCGCGGGUGAUCAGCCUCCCGUGAGGGGGGUGCACUCGCCCGCGAUCAGGCCAGCAUCGGUUUUGGCGGGCGGAUAAAGUCCCCAGGAAUGUAGCUCCCUUCGGGGAGUGUUAUAGCCUGGGGCGGAAUGCGCUCAACCGGGACCGAGGACCGCGCUUCGGCUAGGAUGCUGGCGUAAUGGUUGUAAGCGACGCGUCGUGAAACACGG